rnacentral:lncRNA from 1 species
AGGAAGAGGGGGAAAGGAAGGAAGGAAGGAGGGAGAGAAGAAAGAAAGAAAGAAGGGAAGGAAGGAAGGAAGAAAAGAAAGAAAGAAAAAGAGAAAGAAAGGAAAGAAAGAGAAAAAGAAAGAAGGAAGAAAAGGAAGGGAGAGGGGGAGGAGGGAAGGAAGGAAGGAAGGGAGGGAAGAAAGAAAGAGGGAAUUGCUAAUGGUGGAUUUGAAUUGGGUCCUGGAAAUAUGUAUGUUAAGCAUAUCCCCUGUGUGAUUUUAAUAAAUGCAAAUUUCUAAACAACUACUUUAGAGAACUCCAAUCACCUGGCCACUGUCCAUGUAGUUGGGCCACAGAUUGGAUGCAACUGAAGAUAAAUUUCAGAUAAAUUUACCACUCUUUGGAUACAAAAUAAUAGACUUCUCUCCUCUGGAGGGAUUCCUAUGCUUCCUUUGGGAGGAGGGGGCAGCAUUGAGGAAGAGACGGGCAAUGCCUAGUGAAGUGGAAUGAAAACCCUUCAAGUUUUGAAGUUCAAUUCAACUUCUGACUCUGCUAUUUGCCUGCCAGUUGAACUUGGACCAGUUAUUUGACCUCUCUAGCUGAAUGUAAAGCUCACCUUAAGAAUGAUGAUAGUGUCAUUGUAGGGCAAGUUUAAUGAACAUGUAUGAUUAUGUCAGACAGGUAGUGGGCACUCAUUCUUAGUUUUUGCUUUUUCUUGGAAAUGUAAUAUUCUUCUGUCCAAGAGAGUCAAAGGCACUGAAAUAGCUGCUGGUUUCAUUAUUUUCAAAUGCAUGUCAAUCGUUGUCAUAAUUUAGGAUCCACU